UGCGAGCGUGACGGCGCGAGCAGGUGCGAAAGCAGGUCAUAGUGAUCCGGUGGUUCUGAAUGGAAGGGCCAUCGCUCAACGGAUAAAAGGUACUCCGGGGAUAACAGGCUGAUACCGCCCAAGAGUUCAUAUCGACGGCGGUGUUUGGCACCUCGAUGUCGGCUCAUCACAUCCUGGGGCUGAAGUAGGUCCCAAGGGUAUGGCUGUUCGCCAUUUAAAGUGGUACGCGAGCUGGGUUUAGAACGUCGUGAGACAGUUCGGUCCCUAUCUGCCGUGGGCGCUGGAGAACUGAGGGGGGCUGCUCCUAGUACGAGAGGACCGGAGUGGACGCAUCACUGGUGUUCGGGUUGUCAUGCCAAUGGCACUGCCCGGUAGCUAAAUGCGGAAGAGAUAAGUGCUGAAAGCAUCUAAGCACGAAACUUGCCCCGAGAUGAGUUCUCCCUGAGACUUUAGGUCUCCUGAAGGAACGUUGAAGACGACGACGUUGAUAGGCCGGGUGUGUAAGCGCAGCGAUGCGUUGAGCUAACCGGUACUAAUGAACCGUGAGGCUUAACCUUACA
rnacentral:rRNA from 1 species